UAUAGGUUUUGGCGGCGUUUUUUUAACGACACUUUUUAAAACGUCGCUUUUCGUAAUAUUUAGUGGCGUUUUAAAAACGUCGCAUAUUUCUGUAAAUAAAACGGUGUCGUUUUGUAAUAGAAGGCGUUGAGACACGCCUCCAAAUGCGUUAGACCUCACGCGCCUCUUUUGAAUCUGCAAAUAAUUGUUAAAGCCUAUGUAAACCCUUAUUUUGAAUACUCACGGCUUCAAAUCUCGCCUCUCUCACAACCCUCUUUCUUCAUCUCACGAUGUUGCUCCAGAGUGGUGUCUCUCUCUCUCUCUCUAGAUCGAUCUCUCGCUGUUAACCCUCUAAGAGAUUCAUCUUUCAUCUUUGAGAUUCAGAGAUUUAGAUCGGUCUCAGUGAUUUCAUCUCAAAGCGAUUUCAAUUUCGAAGCUCCAGAGCGGUGUUUCUCUUUCUCUCUCCCUAGAUCUCUCUCUAUCAACCCUCUCAGAGUUUCAUCUCUGAGAUUCAGAGAUUCAGUCGGUCUCAGUGAUUUCAUCUCAGAGCGAUUUCGAUUUCGAAGCGCCAGAGCAGUCUCUCUCUCUAGAUCUCUCUCUGUCAACCCUCUCAGAGAUUCGUCUUUGAGAGUCAAAGAUUCAGAGAUCAGUCUCAGUGAUUUCAUCUCAAAGCGAUUUCGAUUUUGAAGUUCUCUCUCUUGAUUUCGAAGCCCCAGCGAGUGGUGCAUUCCUUGAAGAUGCUACGGUUGUAUCAUGUGGGCAUUCAUUUGGUGGUCAACUGCUGAGGAAGGUCUUAGAGACCUCAAGGUGUAACCUCUGCAGUGCAGAAAUUGACACCAGUUCUUUGAUCCCUAACUAUG